UGUGACCCCAGAGAAGAGCA
rnacentral:tRNA from 1 species